rnacentral:rRNA from 1 species
CGGCCGCAGAGUUUGAUCAUGGCUCAGGAUGAACGCUAGCGGCAGGCCUAAUACAUGCAAGUCGAACGGUAAAUAUUUUAGCAAUAGAAUAUGAGAGUGACGUACGGGUGCGUAACACGUAUGCAACCUACCCUUUACAGAUGGAUAGCUCGGGGAAACUCGAAUUAACCCGUCAUAAUAUAAUUUAGUGGCAUCAUUGGAUUAUUAAAACGCGAGUGGUAAGGAUGGGCAUGCGUCUGAUUAGUUAGUUGGUGCGGGUAACGGCCCACCAAGACGAUGAUCAGUAGGGGAACUGAGAGGUUGAUCCCCCACACUGGCACUGAUAUACGGGCCAGACUCCUACGGGAGGCAGCAGUAGGGAAUAUUGGUCAAUGGAUGGAAGUCUGAACCAGCCAUGCCGCGUGCAGGAAGACGGCCUUCUGGGUUGUAAACUGCUUUUGCCAGGGGCUAAAAAGCUCAUGCGUGAGAAAUUGAAAGUACCUGGUGAAUAAGCCACGG